rnacentral:rRNA from 1 species
AACAAACGCUGGCGGCGUGCCUAAUACAUGCAAGUCGAACGGGGAAAGCUUUCGGGUGAGUACUAGUGGCGCACGGGUGAGGAACGCGUGGAUAAUCUGCCUUAGAGUGGGGGAUAACUAGUCGAAAGACUAGCUAAUACCGCAUAAGACCACAGGAGCUGCGGCUCUAGGGGUCAAAGGUUUUUCGCUCUAAGAUGAGUCCGCGUAAGAUUAGCUUGUUGGUGAGGUAACGGCUCACCAAGGCGACGAUCUUUAACUGGUCUGAGAGGAUGAUCAGUCACACUGGAACUGAGACACGGUCCAGACUCCUACGGGGGCAGCAGUAGGGAAUAUUGCACAAUGGAGGAAACUCUGAUGCAGCGACGCCGCGUGAGUGAUGAAGGCCUUCGGGUCGUAAAGCUCUGUCGCAGGGGAAUAACACAAUGAAUGUACCCUGUAAGAAAGGAUCGGCUAACUUCGUGCCAGCCGCCGCCGUAACAC